GACGAACGCUGGCGGCGUGCCUAAUACAUGCAAGUCGAGCGGACUUUCAAGAAGCUUGCUUUUUGAAAGUUAGCGGCGGACGGGUGAGUAACACGUGGGCAACCUGCCUGCAAGACGGGGAUAACUCCGGGAAACCGGGGCUAAUACCGGAUAAUAUCUUCCUUCGCAUGAAGGAAGGUUGAAAGGCGGCGCAAGUUGCCGCUUGCAGAUGGGCCCGCGGCGCAUUAGCUAGUUGGUGAGGUAACGGCUCACCAAGGCGACGAUGCGUAGCCGACCUGAGAGGGUGAUCGGCCACACUGGGACUGAGACACGGCCCAGACUCCUACGGGAGGCAGCAGUAGGGAAUCUUCCGCAAUGGACGAAAGUCUGACGGAGCAACGCCGCGUGAGCGAAGAAGGGCUUCGGAUCGUAAAGCUCUGUUGUCAGGGAAGAACAAGUACCGUUCGAACAGGGCGGUACCUUGACGGUACCUGACCAGAAAGCCACGGCUAACUACGUG
rnacentral:rRNA from 1 species